UACGAGUUGGUGUAAACUUCGUGAAAGUGAAGGACGCUAAAGCUAUGGGUCUAAGGCUGCUUGUAAGUGGCUAUGAUUGCCAGGCUGCAAGU
rfam:Dehalobacter sp. CF, complete genome.